AGCUUUGUGCAGUGGCAGUAUUGAAGCCAAUGAGGUUUAUCUGAGGCGCAAUUAUUGCUAAUUGAAAAAAGAGAAUGAGGGAAGCAGACGUGGCUCAAGCAGUUGGGCACCUGCCUACCACACAGGAGGUCCUGGAUUCGGUUCUCAGUGCCUCCUAAAGAAG
rnacentral:snRNA from 1 species